rnacentral:rRNA from 1 species
GACAGAGGGUGCAAACGUUGUUCGGAAUUACUGGGCGUAAAGCGUGUGUAGGCGGUCUCGAAAGUCGGAUGUGAAAGCCCUGGGCUCAACCCAGGAAGUGCACCCGAAACUGUGAGGCUAGAGUAUCGGAGAGGUUGGUGGAAUUCUCGGUGUAGAGGUGAAAUUCGUAGAUAUCGAGAGGAACACCGGUGGCGAAGGCGGCCAACUGGACGAAUACUGACGCUGAGACACGAAAGCGUGGGGAGCAAACAGG